UUGUGACACAUUCUGUGUUUCCUUUUUCAGUUUUUAUUCUUUUUUUUUAUUAAUUAAUAAUUUGAUGGCCAAGACAUUUCUGAACAUCAUACUGGUAAUUAGGGCAGAUGUGCAGGUGAGCAGUACUACACAACAGACAAACAGAAACCAGAACAAACCAGUAUACAGCGUUUACAAAACAAAGAUCAAAAGAGUUCAAAGCAGCAGUUGACCACUCGUGCAAAGGACACUGACACUGAGCUAAACACACAUUUGUUGUUAAACAGCACCAUACGACAUUGUGCAAACUUGCGAGAUGAUACAAGGAUUCUUGGUUCACAUUAUCCUGGAUCAACAUCCAACACAGACUGAUGACAGUACACAAACAACAAACAAGUUAUUGCACAAUUCAGUAACACUUACAGUCUGAAUCCUUUUUCAGCACCAAUCGAAAACAUUUUUUUGUGAUUUCUUUUUCAGAAUUUUCUAUUUAUUUUAUUAUUUUUAUUUUCUGUUCAUUUCCAGAACUUGUGAAUCCCGCAGCACUGCAUCUUCAUCUUAUACAUGACAUAUAGCAUGACAGCAGGGGCAGGAAACUGCUUCCCCUUCCUGAGUAACAUUUUCCAGAAUCACUUUGAGGUCGACCAAAAGUUUUGUUCCAUGAUCUCAACAAACUCGACAAGCCAACCAAGCUUGACGGUAAUCCUUUUUCAACUUGAUGACUGCCUUCUGUUCUGGUGUCCACCACCACAGAGACAGAAAACACUGCACAAACUAGUAUUACUAUAAAAAAAGAUCACUAUAACACGCAAAUAUUGUUUCUGUUCUACUGUGAGCUCCAUCUUUUGUAAUUAUUCCCUCAUAACGCUGCUUGCAGCUUUAAAUUGUAAUUAUUCCUAUGUGCCAGGCUCUGACAGUGGUGCAGUGGUUAGCACUGCUAUACCACAGUAAGAAGCUCCAGGCUGAAUUUGCUGUUUUGUGAAGAGUUUCCAGAGCUGUUAUGUUUUUGAUAACCACAGAACAGUUUGUUAUUUCCUAUUUUUCACUUUUAAACAAGAAGUCCAUGUUGCUUAGCCUCGACUGCCUCUGUAUUAGUCUGGACUGGAAGCUGCUUCUUAUUUCUUUUAAAUAUGAAUAAUGUCAGAAAACCAACAACAAUAACAGCAACCGCAACAAAACAAACAACCAUUAUAACAGUUGGAGUUACUAUGUCUUCCACAUCCUGCAUGUUUCCAGCUUCACUUUCCACGAGUCGCUGCUGCAACAUCUUUUCAU
ensembl:lncRNA